UAGCAGCCCCGCGUAGAGACGCUACAACCCAGCCCCGAUGGGCUAGGCCCCGGCUAGCCAGGUCGGAUAGCGGGCCGCGACGUUGGCGGCGCCCUGUCGCGGCGUGUAGCGAGAGCGGGAGGGUGGCGAAGCGGUUGGUUGGCGGGGUCGCUUCUUGUUAGUAUUUGCCGAUUUUGACGACGUCUCCAAAACGUCCCGGGAAUCAGGUUAAAGUGGGACAUGAAAUUACAAUUGGAACAGGAGCCAAGAAGAAAAUAGCAAAACGGAAUGCAUCUGAAGCUAUGUUAUUACAGCUUGGCUAUAAAGCCUCUUCCUCUACUUAAAGAACAGCCAGAAACGAGCUAAUCCCAGAAAGACACUUUCAUCUGCCGAUUAGUCAUGCCCCUGCAAGCCUCAAUAACCUGAGGAGAAAGAAGAGCUACCUCAAGCAAUUUGGAGAAACAGUCAGAAAGAAGGAAGAAAAGACAGAACGAAGGAAAAAGGGAAGGAAGGAGGAAGGAAAUAUGGCUCUAGUUCUACCAAAUUACCAAUUCUGAUCAAAUCCAUCCUUUCAUUUCAAAUCUAAGUAUAUCUUUGGCAAUGUCUUUUGAACCAGGAAUGCUCUAUUACAACAUCUAGAAUCCUCAAAUGACACAUGGCUCAGUGACAGAAGUCUCAGGUUCAUUUCUUAGCGUGUCUCAGCACUAGAUAAAGCCUCUAGAGAUGUGCUGCCAUUUAAUAGGAACAAUUUUGAGUUGGUAUAUUCGGUAAAAAAAUACUUUAUAACAUACCCUAAUAAUACUUUGAGAUACUAAAUUUAAUUCUCAUAAAUUAAGGGCUGGGUUUUUUUCUUAUUUUUCUUCUACAGUGAUAGCUUUACAACAAACUUUGCUAUAAAAGAUCUGAAAAGUCUGGUGGUAGUCUCAUUGCAAUGUCCACUGCUUUUAAUUCACUGGUGAUUUAGUUUUCCAAAGAAACUAAAUUAGUUACUCCUGACUGAUGGAUUCCUCAAAAGUUGAAUUGUUUUGUCCAAGUGCUGCACAUAUUACCUUGCACACCAAGCUUGAUGAUAAAAGCAAACUCUUUCAACACGCAGGAAACAUUUUUUAAGAAAUUUGA